rnacentral:tRNA from 1 species
GUCUCAGUGGCGUAGUGGUUAUCGCACUAGCCCCAGUUUGGUACGAGACGUGGGUUCGAAUCCCGCCUGAGAUG